rnacentral:rRNA from 1 species
GUAGGUGGCAAGCGCUGUCCGGAAUUAUUGGGCGUAAAGCGCGCGCAGGCGGUUCUUUAAGUCUGAUGUGAAAGCCCACGGCUCAACCGUGGAGUGUCAUUGGAAACUGGAGAACUUGAGUACAGAAGAGGAAAGCGGAAUUCCACGUGUAGCGGUGAAAUGCGUAGAGAUGUGGAGGAACACCAGUGGCGAAGGCGGCUUUCUGGUCUGUAACUGACGCUGAGGCGCGAAAGCGUGGGGGGGAGCAAACAGGAUUAGAUACCCUGGUAGUCCACGCCGUAAACGAUGAGUGCUAAGUGUUAGGGGGUUUCCGCCCCCCCCUUAGUGCUGCAGCUAACGCAUUAAGCACUCCGCCUGGGGAGUACGGCCGCAAGGCUG